GCGAAUCGCCCUUCGGGGUGCAGCAGGCGCGAAAACUUUACAAUGCUGGCAACAGCGAUAAGGGGACCUCGAGUGCCAGGAUACAAUCUUGGCUGUCGUGAUGCCUAAAAAGCAUUGCAUAGCAAGGGCCGGGCAAGACCGGUGCCAGCCGCCGCGGUAACACCGGCGGCUCGAGUGGUAACCGCUAUUAUUGGGUCUAAAGGGUCUGUAGCCGGCCGGAUAAGUCUCUUGGGAAAUCCGACAGCUCAACUGUCGGGCUUUCAGGGGAUACUGUUCGGCUCGAGGCCGGGAGAGGUGAGAGGUACUUCAGGGGUAGGGGUGAAAUCUUGUAAUCCUUGAAGGACCACCAGUGGCGAAGGCGUCUCACCAGAACGGUCCUGACGGCAAGGGACGAAAGCUAGGGGCACGAACCGGAUUAGAUACCCGGGUAGUCCUAGCCGUAAACGAUACUCGCUAGGUGUCGGCCACGGUGCGACCGUGGUCGGUGCCGUAGGGAAGCCGUGAAGCGAGCCACCUGGGAAGUACGGCCGCAAGGCUGAAACUUAAAGGAAUUGGCGGGGGAGCAC
rnacentral:rRNA from 1 species